GAUGAACGCUGGCGGCGUGCCUAAUACAUGCAAGUCGAACGCUGGAAAUCUAGCUUGCUCGAUUGAAGGAGUGGCGAACGGGUGAGUAAUACAUAAGCAACCUACCCACGAAGACUGGGAUAAUCUCUGGAAACGGGGACUAAUACCGGAUAGGUAAUCGGAAGGCAUCUUCUGAUUAUUAAAGGUUAAAACCACUGGUGGAUGGGCUUAUGGCGCAUUAGUUAGUUGGUGAGGUAACGGCCCACCAAGACGAUGAUGCGUAGCCGGCCUGAGAGGGUGAACGGCCACAUUGGGACUGAGACACGGCCCAGACUCCUACGGGAGGCAGCAGUAGGGAAUUUUCGGCAAUGGGGGAAACCCUGACCGAGCAACGCCGCGUGAGUGAUGACGGCCUUCGGGUUGUAAAGCUCUGUUGUAAGGGAAGAACGGUAGAUAGAGAAUAUCUAAAUGACGGUACCUUACCAGAAAGCCACGGCUAACUACGUG
rnacentral:rRNA from 1 species